rfam:Salmo salar isolate Sally breed double haploid chromosome ssa19, whole genome shotgun sequence.
UGGCUCAGUUGGUAGAGCAAGGAGCUUGCAACGCCAGGGUUGUGGGUUUGAUUCCCAC